AUUGAACGCUGGCGGAAUGCUUUACAUAUGCAAGUCGAACGGCAGCACGGGGCAACCUGGUGGCGAGUGGCGAACGGGUGAGUAAUACAUCGGAACGUGCCCAAUCGGGGGGGAUAACGUAGCGAAAGUUACGCUAAUACCGCAUACGAACUACGGAUGAAAGCGGGGGAUCGCAAGACCUCGCGCGAAUGGAGAGGCCGAUGUCAGAUUAGGUAGUUGGUGGGGUAAAGGCUCACCAAGCCAACGAUCUGUAGCUGGUCUGAGAGGACGACCAGCCACACUGGGACUGAGACACGGCCCAGACUCCUACGGGAGGCAGCAGUGGGGAAUUUUGGACAAUGGGCGCAAGCCUGAUCCAGCCAUUCCGCGUGCAGGAUGAAGGCCUUCGGGUUGUAAACUGCUUUUGUACGGAACGAAACGGUUCUCUCUAAUACAGGGGGCUAAUGACGGUACCGUAAGAAUAAGCACCGGCUAACUACGUGCCAGCCGCCGCAGUAACAC
rnacentral:rRNA from 1 species